AAGGCUUUAAGUUAAUUAAACUAAUAGCCUUCAAAGCUGUAAAUAAAGGCAGAAAUUCUUUAAGCCUUA
rnacentral:tRNA from 1 species